rnacentral:rRNA from 1 species
UACGUAGGGUGCGAGCGUUGUCCGGAAUUAUUGGGCGUAAAGAGCUCGUAGGCGGCUUGUCACGUCGGUUGUGAAAGCCCGGGGCUUAACCCCGGGUCUGCAUUCGAUACGGGCUAGCUAGAGUGUGGUAGGGGAGAUCGGAAUUCCUGGUGUAGCGGUGAAAUGCGCAGAUAUCAGGAGGAACACCGGUGGCGAAGGCGGAUCUCUGGGCCAUUACUGACGCUGAGGAGCGAAAGCGUGGGGAGCGAACAGG